rnacentral:rRNA from 1 species
GAUGAACGCUGGCGGCGUGCCUAAUACAUGCAAGUCGAGCGAACAGACGAGGAGCUUGCUCCUCUGACGUUAGCGGCGGACGGGUGAGUAACACGUGGAUAACCUACCUAUAAGACUGGGAUAACUUCGGGAAACCGGAGCUAAUACCGGAUAAUAUAUUGAACCGCAUGGUUCAAUAGUGAAAGACGGUUUUGCUGUCACUUAUAGAUGGAUCCGCGCCGCAUUAGCUAGUUGGUAAGGUAACGGCUUACCAAGGCAACGAUGCGUAGCCGACCUGAGAGGGUGAUCGGCCACACUGGAACUGAGACACGGUCCAGACUCCUACGGGAGGCAGCAGUAGGGAAUCUUCCGCAAUGGGCGAAAGCCUGACGGAGCAACGCCGCGUGAGUGAUGAAGGUCGUCGGAUCGUAAAACUCUGUUAUUAGGGAAGAACAAAUGUGUAAGUAACUAUGCACGUCUUGACGGUACCUAAUCAGAAAGCCACGGCUAACUACGGGC